rnacentral:rRNA from 1 species
AUUGAACGCUGGCGGCAGGCCUAACACAUGCAAGUCGAACGAGUGGCGGACGGGUGAGUAAUGUCUGGGAAACUGCCUGAUGGAGGGGGAUAACUACUGGAAACGGUAGCUAAUACCGCAUACCAUCAGAUGUGCCCAGAUGGGAUUAGCUAGUAGGUGGGGUAACGGCUCACCUAGGCGACGAUCCCUAGCUGGUCUGCGAGGAUGACCAGCCACACUGGAACGGAGACACGGUCCAGACUCCUACGGGAGGAAGCAGGGGGGAAUAGUGCACAAUGGGCGCAAGCCUGAUGCAGCCAUGCCGCGGGUGUGAAGAAGGCCUUCGGGUUGGAAAGCACUUUCAGCGGGGAGGCGUUACCCGAAGAAGAAGCACCGGCUAACUCCGUGCCAGCAGCCGCGGUAAUUC